rnacentral:rRNA from 1 species
GACGAACGCUGGCGGCGUGCCUAAUACAUGCAAGUAGGACGCAGUUGCGAACGGGUGCGUAACGCGUAGGUAACUACCUAUUAGAGGGGGAUAACUAUUGGAAACUAUAGCUAAUACCGCAUACUAGUAGAUGGACCGGCGUUGUAUUAGCUAGUAGGUAGGGUAAUGGCCUAACUAGGCAACGAUACAUAGCCGAGCUUGGAGGGUGAUCGGCCAAAAUGGGAAUGGUGAACGGCCCAGACUCCUACGGGAGGCAGCAGUAGGGAAUCUUCGGCCAUGGGGGGAACCCUGACCGAGCCACGCCGCGUGAGUGAAGAAGGUUUUCGGAUCGUAAAGCUCUGUUGUUAAGGAAGCGGUACUUAACCAGAAAGGGACGGCUAACUACGUGCCAGCAGCCGCGGUAAUAC